UACGUAGGUGGCGAGCGUUGUCCGGAAUUACUGGGCGUAAAGGGCGCGUAGGCGGUUUUUUAAGUUAGAUGUGAAAACCCAGGGCUUAACUUUGGGCGUGCAUUUAAAACUGGAGAGCUUGAGUGCAGGAGAGGUAAGUGGAAUUCCUAGUGUAGCGGUGAAAUGCGUAGAUAUUAGGAGGAACACCAGUGGCGAAGGCGACUUACUGGACUGUAACUGACGCUGAGGCGCGUAAGCGUGGGGAGCAAACAGGAUUAGAUACCCCUGUAUCCCUGAGCGGG
rnacentral:rRNA from 1 species